rnacentral:misc_RNA from 1 species
AGAUUGGUUUAGCUACCCUAGUAAUUUGGUUUGGAAAUAAAAUAACUUUAAAGAAAGAAAAUUUAAAAUUGUAUUGGUCUUAAUGCCAGUUAUUAUAGUAAUACUAAUAGAUGGCUGUCAUGGAGAGAGGAGCAUCUUUGAUCUUAAUUGCUUCCUGUUUUGUUAGUUUUUUGUCAGUUUCUCAGCAGUGCAAUGAAGCAGUGUGUGGAUCAAUUGUAAGCAAAUGUAUGCUAACUCAGUCCUGUAAGUGUGAGAAGGCAAAUUCAACUUGCAGUCGGAAUUGUUUCCUGUGUCUAGAUGAUUUGUAUAUAGAAUGUUGCUCCUGUGUUGGGCUGUGUCCCAAGCCCAACGACACAGACACAGACAUGAGUAAAAAAUCUCAUGUAGAAGAUCUGUCUGAACCAAUUCCAGUACUUUUUACAGUCUUAACUGAAAAGGAAGACCACAAGUUUCGGUGGAUUUCCUACACAUUUCCAGCUCACUUAUCAUUCAUUACUCUAGCUGAAACAAAUGACAUCAAAGUUUCUUCUGUGUGGGUGGAUAAUGAAGUAGAUUUUGAGGAACAAGAGAUAAACUGCACUGUUGCCUACAUGUCCCAGUGUACAUCAUGGAACAAGUGUAAAAACUCUUGUAGAUCCAUGGGAGCAGCCAGCUAUCGAUGGUUCCACGAUGGUUGUUGUGAAUGCAUUGGAUCCACUUGCAUUAAUUAUGGCAUUAAUGAAAGCAGAUGUUACAAAUGUCCUGUUGAGAAGGAGGAAGUGAGCGAAGAAGAAAAUGAGGUAGUAAAGACACAUACAAAAAUGUUUGGUGGCUCAGGAGAAAAGCAGUUUGGCAAACUUGAGAUAACAGAUACUGGAAAAAAGAAUUAUCAAGAACUUGAAUCAUAGGCUCAGUUUGAAAUUGACCAAAUAUCCCACAUGUUAAAAAAAUGCCUAAUAGAAAUUUUAGUUUUUAUGAGUCACUGUUGUCCGUGAGAGAAGCUUGGUAAAGCAGUAACUGACAAAGAUUCUAUUGUACUCAAAUUUUACAUGGAUUUAUUGCUUAACUAGCAAGAGCCACAACAACAACAAAAAGUAACAUUUUAUACGUACAUAUAUAUUUGUGUGUGUGUGUAGCAAAAUCUUAUCUUCUGUAAAUGUACAGAAUUUAAUCAAAUUUGUUAUAUCAUUAAAAAAAAUCUUUUUCUAACUUUUUCUUUAGCUCAGGGCAUAACCUAAGUUUGUAUUUGAUUAUUUUUUUCUUAUCUCCUUACUCUAUAUUGAUGAAAUUGGCCGAGUGUUUGGUAAGGUGCACACUCUGAUUAAAUUAGCUUUCUCCUUAGUAUAUUUCACCUCUAGGAUAAGGUACCUGUUAAUAGUUAUUGUUGAUAGCUUUAGUGAUUUUUAUGAUGUAUGAUACAGAAUAUAAAAUCUUGAUUUUAAUGCCCUCAUAUUUCAGGUUCAGUGAGUAUUUUUUUUUCCUAACUGUAAGUAAUAUGGUUGCAAAAAUCAACUGAUAUCUCAUGAUUGUUCAGGUGGCCUUUGUUAUUUUCAGUUGGUUCAUGCAUGUAUUGGACAUUUUUUAUUGCAACACCAUGUUUGAAAUUAUAGGUAUUAUAUAGUUAUCAUUUUAGGCCAACCGAAGCAAUUUAUGUAUGUGUAUAUGCAAAACCACGUAAAGAAGAUUUAUAAAAAGUAUGAUUUGUAUAACAAGUUGUAAAACUUGUAUGCUAUGCUAUUUUUAUACAUUUUAUCAUUUAUCAUCUUCACUUAACCCAUUUCUUGUUUAUAAUUUAUAAGCUUCACUAAACACAUCCUAACAAGGCAUGUUUUGAAACUUGUGUGUACUUCUUUCGUUUAAAAGUUUUUGUUUUUUUUCCAUUGUUACUAAGUUUAUUAUUAAUUGGCAUGUUUGGUACUUAAAUAUUUUGUUACUUUGUUUAUUUAACAGUUUAUAUUAUUCAUUAAAUUAAAUUAAGUAAAAUUACAUCUAACAAGCCUAACACUUAAAGGAAAGUAUACAGACAGGAAGAUAGAAUUGAAAAUAGUGUUAAAACUUCGAGUUAAAAGAUCUCAUGUAUGGAAUGAGUGCAAACCAAAUCAAAAUGAAUUAUUGGCUAAUAAAUAGAAUAAAAAGAAACAUUUCAUUUUUAAAUUACAUUAAAAUGAUAUGAAUACAGAGGUUUUUAAUGGCAGUGUUUUUUUUUCUCUUGA